rnacentral:tRNA from 1 species
GUCGCGAAGGUUGAGCGGGCAAUGUGAUGGACUUGGAACCCACUGGGGUCUACUCGCGCGGGUUCGGAUCCUGCUCGCGAUG